UACGUAGGGUGCAAGCGUUGUCCGGAAUUAUUGGGCGUAAAGAGCGUGUAGGCGGCUGGGUAGGUCCGUUGUGAAAACUCGAGCUCAACCUCGAGACGCCGAUGGAAACCCUCCAGCUAGAGUCCGGAAGAGGAGAGUGGAAUUCCUGGUGUAGCGGUGAAAUGCGCAGAUAUCGGGAGGAACACCAGCGGCGAAGGCGGCACUCUGGGCUGGAACUGACGCUGAGGAGCGAAAGCCAGGGGAGCGAACGGG
rnacentral:rRNA from 1 species